GUCCUCUAGGGACAUCCAAUAAAAUUGGAAUGAUACAAAGAAGAUUGCAUGGCCCCUGCACAAGGAUGGCGUGCACAAAUUGGAAAAUGGUCCAAAUUAUU